GAUGAACGCUGGCGGCGUGCCUAAUACAUGCAAGUCGAGCGAACAGACGAGGAGCUUGCUCCUCUGACGUUAGCGGCGGACGGGUGAGUAACACGUGGAUAACCUACCUAUAAGACUGGGAUAACUUCGGGAAACCGGAGCUAAUACCGGAUAAUAUAUUGAACCGCAUGGUUCAAUAGUGAAAGACGGUUUUGCUGUCACUUACAGAUGGAUCCGCGCCGCAUUAGCUAGUUGGUAAGGUAACGGCUUACCAAGGCAACGAUGCGUAGCCGACCUGAGAGGGUGAUCGGCCACACUGGAACUGAGGCACGGUCCAGACUCCUACGGGAGGCAGCAGUAGGGAAUCUUCCGCAAUGGGCGAAAGCCUGACGGAGCAACGCCGCGUGAGUGAUGAAGGUCUUCGGAUCGUAAAACUCUGUUAUUAGGGAAGAACAAAUGUGUAAGUAACUAUGCACGUCUUGACGGUACCUAAUCAGAAAGCCACGGCUAACUACGUG
rnacentral:rRNA from 1 species